UACAGAGGUCUCGAGCGUUAUGCGGAAUUAUUGGGCGUAAAGAGCGUGUAGGCGGCUUUACAGGUCCGUUGUGAAAACUCGAGGCUCAACCUCGAGACGCCGGUGGAAACCGUAAGGCUAGAGUCCGGAAGAGGAGAGUGGAAUUCCUGGUGUAGCGGUGAAAUGCGCAGAUAUCAGGAGGAACACCCGUGGCGAAAGCGGCUCUCUGGGACGGUACUGACGCUGAGACGCGAAAGCGUGGGGAGCAAACAGG
rnacentral:rRNA from 1 species